CCUACGGGUGGCAGCAGUGAGGAAUAUUGGUCAAUGGGCGCGAGCCUGAACCAGCCAAGUCGCGUGAGGGAAGACGGUCCUAUGGAUUGUAAACCUCUUUUGUCGGGGAGCAAAAGACGCCACGCGUGGCGUUCCGAGAGUACCCGAAGAAAAAGCAUCGGCUAACUACGUGCCAGCAGCCGCGGUAAUACGUAGGUGGCAAGCGUUGUCCGGAUUUACUGGGUGUAAAGGGCGUGUAGCCGGGAAGGCAAGUCAGAUGUGAAAUCCGGAGGCUCAACCUCCGAAUUGCAUUUGAAACUGUUUUUCUUGAGUACUGGAGAGGCAGACGGAAUUCCUUGUGUAGCGGUGAAAUGCGUAGAUAUAAGGAGGAACACCAGUGGCGAAGGCGGUCUGCUGGACAGCAACUGACGGUGAGGCGCGAAAGCGUGGGGAGCAAACAGGAUUAGAUACCCCUGUAGUC
rnacentral:rRNA from 1 species